GCCGCCCGCGACUCGGCGAGAAGUCCAUUGAACCUUAUCAUUUAGAGGAAGGAGAAGUCGUAACAAGGUUUCCGUAGGUGAACCUGCGGAAGGAUCAUUG
rnacentral:rRNA from 1 species